rnacentral:rRNA from 1 species
GUAGUAGUGGGUGUAGCGUACCUACUAGCCUACGACGGGUACGGGUUGUGAGAGCAAGAGCCCGGAGAUGGAUUCUGAGACACGAAUCCAGGCCCUACGGGGUGCAGCAGGCGCGAAAACUUUACAAUGCCGGCAACGGCGAUAAGGGGACCUCGAGUGCCAGGUUACAAAUCUGGCUGUCGUGAUGCCUAAAAAGCAUUGCAUAGCAAGGGCCGGGCAAGACCGGUGCCAGCCGCCGCGGUAACACCGGCGGCUCGAGUGGUAACCGUUAUUAUUGGGCCUAAAGGGUCUGUAGCCGGCCGGAUAAGUCUCUUGAGAAAUCCAGCAGCUCAACUGUUGGGCUUUCAGGAGAUACUGUUCGGCUCGAGGCCGGGAGAGGUGAGAGGUACUUCAGGGGUAGGGGUGAAAUCUUGUAAUCCUUGAAGGACCACCAGUGGCGAAGGCGUCUCACCAGAACGGACCUGACGGCAAGGGACGAAAGCUAGGGGCACGAACCGGAUUAGAUACCCGGGUAGUCCUAGCCGUAAACGAUACUCGCUAGGUGUCGGCCACGGUGCGACCGUUGUCGGUGCCGUAGGGAAGCCGUGAAGCGAGC